rnacentral:sRNA from 1 species
AUGAGUGUGAGCUCGUGAGUGGGCGCCGCCGCCACCGCCCCCGCCGCCGUCGUCUCGGUAGCAACCUUCGCCACGCCGGGGUCUUCAGCUCCACUGGGGCCAUGUCAGAGCGAGAAGAGCGGCGGUUUGUGGAGAUCCCUCGGGAGUCUGUCCGGCUCAUGGCGGAGAGCACGGGCCUGGAGCUGAGCGAUGAGGUGGCGGCGCUGCUCGCAGAGGACGUGUGCUAUCGUCUGAGAGAGGCCACGCAGAAUAGCUCUCAGUUCAUGAAGCACACCAAACGCCGGAAGCUGACGGUUGAGGACUUCAACAGGGCCCUCAGAUGGAGCAGCGUGGAGGCUGUGUGUGGUUACGGAUCCCAGGAGGCACUGCCCAUGCGCCCCGCCAGGGAGGGUGAACUCUACUUUCCUGAGGAUCGAGAGGUGAACCUGGUGGAGCUGGCCCUGGCUACCAACAUCCCCAAAGGCUGUGCUGAGACAGCUGUCAGAGUUCAUGUCUCCUACCUGGAUGGCAAAGGGAACCUGGCACCUCAAGGAUCGGGUAAGGGGUGAUGUAGGAAACAGGCUCUUUGGAUGAAUUUUCUCCCUUAGGUUCUGAGGGUGGUGCCUAUGUGCCCCCGAGUCUGCGUCUAACAUGUGUUUACCCAUGCCUGCCUUGUGCCAUGGUCUGAGUGGGCGCUGGGCUCUGCAUGGAGGGCUCAGAGUUGGAGAUGGGGGCCCAGACCUGUAACUAGUCAUAAUGCAGCAUGUUGGAUGCUAAGACAGAAGUCUGGGCAGCAUGCUGGGGCGGUGUUUCACCCCCAGGGUAUGCUGAGCAGAGCUUCACAGAGCCUGAAGCUCUCAGGAGUCCGUCUGGCAGAGGGUGGGUGGAAGACAGGACAGAGCACAGAGGUGUGCGGAGCCUAGAUGGUCAGGGCUGAGCAGGCUCUAAGAGCAGUCUCUUGCCCUGGUUGUCCUGUCGGAAAGGCUUCUUGUGGAUGUGUGUGGGGAUGGU